rnacentral:rRNA from 1 species
GACGAACGCUGGCGGCGUGCUUAACACAUGCAAGUCGAACGGAAAGGCCUGCUUUCCCUUGUGGAUUGCGGGUACUCGAGUGGCGAACGGGUGAGUAACACGUGAGUGAUCUGCCCCCAACUUGGGUAUAAGCCUGGGAAACUGGGUCUAAUUCCCGAUAGGACUGCAGGGUGGUGCCUGUGGUGGAAAACGAUUUUCUAGUGGUUGGGGAUGAGCUCGCGGCCUAUCAGCUUGUUGGUGGGGUAAUGGCCUACCAAGGCGGCGACGGGUAGCCGGCCUGAGAGGGUGGACGGCCACAUUGGGACUGAGAUACGGCCCAGACUCCUACGGGAGGCAGCAGUGGGGAAUAGUGCACAAUGGGCGGAAGCCUGAUGCAGCGACGCCGCGGGGGGGAUGACGGCCUUCGGGUUGUAAACUCCUUUCGACCGCGAGGAAGCCACCUGGUUGGAAGGGUGGUGACGGUAGUGGUAGAAGAAGCACCGGCUAACUACGUG